AUCGCUUCUCGGCCUUUUGGCUAAGAUCAAGUGUAGUAUCUGUUGUUCUCAGUUUAAUCCCCAGUCAAAGGAAAUUAAAAGAAAAUGUGAAAGAAAAAUCAAAGGAAAUGUGCUGGGUAAACUUGGUCUGGACACAUACUCAGUCUAAUUCUGGCUUGUUAUUCCUCUUCUAAUCAGUUUGUAUGCUUUCCU